rnacentral:rRNA from 1 species
CGGUGCCGUUGGGCAGCCCCAAAGCUGCUCAACCAACACUCGUUCCAUGUGUGUGCAAGCAUGCAUGACAACAACAUAUUUCUACGAAUCAUCUGAUCAAUCAUUCAUUUCAAACAAACAAUAACUUUUAACAAUGGAUCUCUAGGCUCUUGCAUCGAUGAAGAACGCAGUGAAGUGCGAAAAGUAAUGCGAUUUGCAUGCUCUGUGAGUCAUCGAAUCUUUGAACGCAUAUGGCACCUGCCAGCUUUUGCUGGAAGGUAUGCCUGUUUGAGAAUCAUUUUCAUUUUACCCUGCAUGGACCUUCAACACUGAUCGUCUUGAAUUCUGCACGGCUGCGUCGUGGUACAUGUCAUCACUGAUGUUGAUCACCGGCCAGCUGACCAAAUCAUCCAAUGAUCUCAAAUCAGGCAAGACUACCCGCUGAACUUAA